CUUGGAAUUCCCACUUUUAAUAAAAAAACAGGGGAAUAAUA
rnacentral:sRNA from 11 species